AUUGAACGCUGGCGGCAGGCCUAACACAUGCAAGUCGAGCGAGCGGCGGACGGGUGAGUAAUGCAUGGGGAUUUGCCCGAUAGAGGGGGAUAACUCCUGGCAACGGUUGCUAAUACCGCAUACUAUCGGAUGAACCCACAUGGGAUUAACUAGUAGGUGGGGUAAAGGCUCACCUAGGCGACGAUCUCUCGCUGGUCUGAGAGGAUGAUUGGCCACACUGGGACUGAGACAUGGCCCAGACGCCUACGGGAGGCAGCAGUGUGGAAUAUUGCACAAUGGGCGCAAGCCUGAUGCAGCCAUGCCGCGUGUAUGAAGAAAGCCUUAGGGUUGUAAAGUACUUUCAGCAGGGAGGCGUUACCCGCAGAAGAAGCACCGGCAAACUCCGUGCCAGCAGCCGCGGUAAUAC
rnacentral:rRNA from 1 species